AUUAUUAUUUACACACACAAACACACACACACACAUAUAUAUAUAUAUAUGUGUGUGUGUGUGUGUGUGUUUGUGUGUGUAAAUAAUAAU